GACGAACGCUGGCGGCGCGCCUAACACAUGCAAGUCGAACGGAGCUGGGAGAAGUUUGCUUUUCUUAGCUUUUUGGCGAACGGGUGAGUAACGCGUGAGUAAUCUGCCCUGGAGGGGGGGACAACAUUUGGAAACGACUGCUAAUACCGCAUAAGCACACGAUCCGGCAUCUGAUUGUGGGAAAUGGAUUUAUUCGCUUACGGAUGGACUCGCGUCCAAUUAGGUAGUUGGUGAGGUAACGGCCCACCAAGGCGAAGAUUGGUAGCCGGACUGAGAGGAUGAACGGGCACACUGGGAGUGAGACACGGACGAGACUCCUACGGGAGGAAGCAGUGGGGGAUAUUGAACAAUGGGGGAAAGCCUGAUGCAGCGAGGCCGCGUGGAGGAAGAAGGUUUGAGGAUUGUAAACUACUGUGGAUAGGGAAGAUAAUGACGGUACCUAACAAGAAAGCAACGGCUAACUACGUG
rnacentral:rRNA from 1 species